rnacentral:tRNA from 1 species
CCCCGCUUAACUCAGCUGGAAGAGUGUCAGACUGUAAUCGGUUACGUUCAUCUGAAAGUCCCUGGUUCGAUCCCGGGAGCGGGGA